rnacentral:sRNA from 1 species
AAAUAGCCCAGAUAGUAAUGGAAAGCAUUUUAUUGAAGAAUUCUAUUUUUUGUAGUGCUAAAAAAGCGACCAACGGAAGCUCUUUUUAGUGCUUACAAAAAAAGAAUUGUUGAUAAAAUCUUGGAAUGGAUAGCUGGAAAUAGC